GCCCACACCCAGUUUUUGACCCGGCAAUGUAAACCUUCUAAAACAAUAACAAAUCCAACAUCCCCUCAUACGCACAAAACUUUACCACGUUUCAAUUGAAGUCGGCAGUGAGCAAUCUUUCUAUGAUAAUUCUUCUACCUUUUCAAUCUUCGUCUAGGUUUAAAUCAUCUGUUUGCGAUAAUCCCUAACUCAAUUUCAUUUUUUGUGAGAAACAAGCCGUCAUCUUCAAUUGGGUCUGAUUUCAUCUUUUGCGACAAAAAGUCUGAUUUGAUUGGAUUCAAUUUCAUCAUUUGCUACGGACAAUCCUAGCAUUCGAUCGGUGCUUCCUUCAUCUUCAAUUUCGCAGAGUUGUUCUCCUUACCAAAAUCGUCUAGCUUAUUCUCCAAAGUCUCAAACUACUAAAGCCAUUGCUUGCGUGGUGUC